CAGCAGCCACGGGAAUAAAGAGGGUGCGAGCGUUAAUCGGAUUUACUGGGCGUAAAGCGUGUGUAGGUUGUUGUUCAAGUCAGUUGUGAAAUCCCUGGGCUCAACCUGGGAACUGCUUCUGAGACUGAACGACUAGAGUACGGUAGAGGGUGGUGGAAUUUCCGGUGUAGCGGUGAAAUGCGUAGAUAUCGGAAGGAACAUCAAUGGCGAAGGCAGCCACCUGGGCCUGUACUGACACUGAGACACGAAAGCGUGGGGAUCAAACAGGAUUAGAUACCCCCGGUAGUCCCUGUCUCUUAUA
rnacentral:rRNA from 1 species